AGCGUACACGGUGGAUGCCCUGGCAGUCAGAGGCGAUGAAGGACGUGCUAAUCUGCGAUAAGCGUCGGUAAGGUGAUAUGAACCGUUAUAACCGGCGAUUUCCGAAUGGGGAAACCCAGUGUGUUUCGACACACUAUCAUUAACUGAAUCCAUAGGUUAAUGAGGCGAACCGGGGGAACUGAAACAUCUAAGUACCCCGAGGAAAAGAAAUCAACCGAGAUUCCCCCAGUAGCGGCGAGCGAACGGGGAGCAGCCCAGAGCCUGAAUCAGUGUGUGUGUUAGUGGAAGCGUCUGGAAAGGCGCGCGAUACAGGGUGACAGCCCCGUACACAAAAAUGCACAUGCUGUGAGCUCGAUGAGUAGGGCGGGACACGUGGUAUCCUGUCUGAAUAUGGGGGGACCAUCCUCCAAGGCUAAAUACUCCUGACUGACCGAUAGUGAACCAGUACCGUGAGGGAAAGGCGAAAAGAACCCCGGCGAGGGGAGUGAAAAAGAACCUGAAACCGUGUACGUACAAGCAGUGGGAGCACGCUUAGGCGUGUGACUGCGUACCUUUUGUAUAAUGGGUCAGCGACUUAUAUUCUGUAGCAAGGUUAACCGAAUAGGGGAGCCGAAGGGAAACCGAGUCUUAACUGGGCGUUAAGUUGCAGGGUAUAGACCCGAAACCCGGUGAUCUAGCCAUGGGCAGGUUGAAGGUUGGGUAACACUAACUGGAGGACCGAACCGACUAAUGUUGAAAAAUUAGCGGAUGACUUGUGGCUGGGGGUGAAAGGCCAAUCAAACCGGGAGAUAGCUGGUUCUCCCCGAAAGCUAUUUAGGUAGCGCCUCGUGAAUUCAUCUCCGGGGGUAGAGCACUGUUUCGGCAAGGGGGUCAUCCCGACUUACCAACCCGAUGCAAACUGCGAAUACCGGAGAAUGUUAUCACGGGAGACACACGGCGGGUGCUAACGUCCGUCGUGAAGAGGGAAACAACCCAGACCGCCAGCUAAGGUCCCAAAGUCAUGGUUAAGUGGGAAACGAUGUGGGAAGGCCCAGACAGCCAGGAUGUUGGCUUAGAAGCAGCCAUCAUUUAAAGAAAGCGUAAUAGCUCACUGGUCGAGUCGGCCUGCGCGGAAGAUGUAACGGGGCUAAACCAUGCACCGAAGCUGCGGCAGCGACACUAUGUGUUGUUGGGUAGGGGAGCGUUCUGUAAGCCUGCGAAGGUGUGCUGUGAGGCAUGCUGGAGGUAUCAGAAGUGCGAAUGCUGACAUAAGUAACGAUAAAGCGGGUGAAAAGCCCGCUCGCCGGAAGACCAAGGGUUCCUGUCCAACGUUAAUCGGGGCAGGGUGAGUCGACCCCUAAGGCGAGGCCGAAAGGCGUAGUCGAUGGGAAACAGGUUAAUAUUCCUGUACUUGGUGUUACUGCGAAGGGGGGACGGAGAAGGCUAUGUUGGCCGGGCGACGGUUGUCCCGGUUUAAGCGUGUAGGCUGGUUUUCCAGGCAAAUCCGGAAAAUCAAGGCUGAGGCGUGAUGACGAGGCACUACGGUGCUGAAGCAACAAAUGCCCUGCUUCCAGGAAAAGCCUCUAAGCAUCAGGUAACAUCAAAUCGUACCCCAAACCGACACAGGUGGUCAGGUAGAGAAUACCAAGGCGCUUGAGAGAACUCGGGUGAAGGAACUAGGCAAAAUGGUGCCGUAACUUCGGGAGAAGGCACGCUGAUAUGUAGGUGAAGUCCCUCGCGGAUGGAGCUGAAAUCAGUCGAAGAUACCAGCUGGCUGCAACUGUUUAUUAAAAACACAGCACUGUGCAAACACGAAAGUGGACGUAUACGGUGUGACGCCUGCCCGGUGCCGGAAGGUUAAUUGAUGGGGUUAGCCGCAAGGCGAAGCUCUUGAUCGAAGCCCCGGUAAACGGCGGCCGUAACUAUAACGGUCCUAAGGUAGCGAAAUUCCUUGUCGGGUAAGUUCCGACCUGCACGAAUGGCGUAAUGAUGGCCAGGCUGUCUCCACCCGAGACUCAGUGAAAUUGAACUCGCUGUGAAGAUGCAGUGUACCCGCGGCAAGACGGAAAGACCCCGUGAACCUUUACUAUAGCUUGACACUGAACAUUGAGCCUUGAUGUGUAGGAUAGGUGGGAGGCUUAGAAGUGUGGACGCCAGUCUGCAUGGAGCCGACCUUGAAAUACCACCCUUUAAUGUUUGAUGUUCUAACGUUGACCCGUAAUCCGGGUUGCGGACAGUGUCUGGUGGGUAGUUUGACUGGGGCGGUCUCCUCCUAAAGAGUAACGGAGGAGCACGAAGGUUGGCUAAUCCUGGUCGGACAUCAGGAGGUUAGUGCAAUGGCAUAAGCCAGCUUGACUGCGAGCGUGACGGCGCGAGCAGGUGCGAAAGCAGGUCAUAGUGAUCCGGUGGUUCUGAAUGGAAGGGCCAUCGCUCAACGGAUAAAAGGUACUCCGGGGAUAACAGGCUGAUACCGCCCAAGAGUUCAUAUCGACGGCGGUGUUUGGCACCUCGAUGUCGGCUCAUCACAUCCUGGGGCUGAAGUAGGUCCCAAGGGUAUGGCUGUUCGCCAUUUAAAGUGGUACGCGAGCUGGGUUUAGAACGUCGUGAGACAGUUCGGUCCCUAUCUGCCGUGGGCGCUGGAGAACUGAGGGGGGCUGCUCCUAGUACGAGAGGACCGGAGUGGACGCAUCACUGGUGUUCGGGUUGUCAUGCCAAUGGCACUGCCCGGUAGCUAAAUGCGGAAGAGAUAAGUGCUGAAAGCAUCUAAGCACGAAACUUGCCCCGAGAUGAGUUCU
rnacentral:rRNA from 1 species